AUUGAACGCUGGCGGCAUGCCUUACACAUGCAAGUCGAACGGCAGCACGGGAGCAAUCCUGGUGGCGAGUGGCGAACGGGUGAGUAAAGUAUCGGAACGUGCCCAGUCGUGGGGGAUAACGUAGCGAAAGUUACGCUAAUACCGCAUACGAUCUAUGGAUGAAAGCGGGGGAUCGCAAGACCUCGCGCGAUUGGAGCGGCCGAUAUCAGAAUAGGUAGUUGGUGGGGUAAAGGCUCACCAAGCCGACGAUCUGUAGCUGGUCUGAGAGGACGACCAGCCACACUGGGACCGAGACACGGCCCAGACUCCUACGGGAGGCAGCAGUGGGGAAUUUUGGACAAUGGGCGAAAGCCUGAUCCAGCCAUGCCGCGUGCAGGAUGAAGGCCUUCGGGUUGUAAACUGCUUUUGUACGGAACGAGAAGGUUUGGCCUAAUAAGCUGAGCUCAUGACGGUACCGUAAGAAUAAGCACCGGCUAACUACGUGCCAGCCGCCGCCGUAA
rnacentral:rRNA from 1 species